AUUGAACGCUGGCGGCAGGCCUAACACAUGCAAGUCGAACGGUAACAGGAAGCAGCUUGCUGCUUUGCUGACGGGUGGCGGACGGGUGAGUAAUGUCUGGGAAACUGCCUGAUGGAGGGGGAUAACUACUGGAAACGGUAGCUAAUAGCGCAUAACGUCGCAAGCACAAAGAGGGGGGCCUUCGGGCCUCUUGCCAUCGGAGGCGCCCAAAUGGGAUUAGCUAGUAGGUGGGUUAACGGCUCACCUAGGCGACGAUCCCUAGCUGGUCUGAGAGGAGGGCCUGCCACCCUGGACCUCAGCCACGGUCCCGGCUCCUACGGGAGGCAGCAGACGGCAAUAUUGCACAAUGGGCGCAAGCCUGCUGCAGCCAUGCCGCGUGUAUGGAGAAGGCCUUCGGGUUGUAAAGUACUUUCAGCGGGGAGGAAGGGAGUAAAGUUAAUACCUUUGCUCAUUGACGUUACCCGCAGAAGAAGCACCGGCUAACUCCGUG
rnacentral:rRNA from 1 species